AACGAACGCUGGCGGCAGGCCUAACACAUGCAAGUCGAACGCUCCAGCAAUGGAGAGUGGCAGACGGGUGAGUAACGCGUGGGAACCUACCCUUUGGUUCGGAAUAGCCCAGGGAAACUUGGGGUAAUACCGGAUAAGCCCUUCGGGGGAAAGAUUUAUCGCCAUUGGAUGGGCCCGCGUCGGAUUAGCUAGUUGGUGGGGUAAUGGCCUACCAAGGCGACGAUCCGUAGCUGGUCUGAGAGGAUGAUCAGCCACACUGGGACUGAGACACGGCCCAGACUCCUACGGGAGGCAGCAGUGGGGAAUAUUGGACAAUGGGCGCAAGCUUGAUCCAGCCAUGCCGCGUGAGUGACGAAUGUCUUCGGAUUGUAAAGCUCUUUUGGCGGGGACGAUAAUGACGGUACCCGCAGAAUAAGCUCCGGCUAACUUCGUGCCAGCCGCCGCCGUAA
rnacentral:rRNA from 1 species